ACCAAGGGUUGCCUCACCUAAAAAAAAAAAAAAAUAAAUUAAAAAAAAGAAAGAUCCCGUCUGGACUCGGAAGCUAAGCAGGGUUGGGCUUGGUUAGUACUUGGAUGGGAGACCACCUAGGAAGACCAGGUGCUGUAGGCA
rnacentral:rRNA from 1 species